rnacentral:tRNA from 1 species
CGCGGGGUAGAGCAGCUGGUAGCUCGUCGGGCUCAUAACCCGAAGGUUGCCGGUUCGAAUCCGGUCCCCGCAACCA